GACGAACGCUGGCGGCAUGCCUAACACAUGCAAGUCGAACGGAGAUUACUUCGGUAAUCUUAGUGGCGAACGGGUGAGUAACGCGUGGGCAACCUGCCCUCUAGAUGGGGACAACAUCCCGAAAGGGGUGCUAAUACCGAAUGUGACAGCAAUCUCGCAUGAGGAUGCGGUGAAAGAUGGCCGCUAUUUAUAAGCUAUCGCUAGAGGAUGGGCCUGCGUCUGAUUAGCUAGUUGGUGGGGUAACGGCCUACCAAGGCGAUGAUCAGUAGCCGGGCUGAGAGGAUGAUCGGCCACAUUGGGACUGAGACACGGUCCAGACUCCUACGGGAGGCAGCAGUAGGCAAUCUUCCGCAAAGGGCGAAAGCCUGACGGAGCAACGCCGCGUGAGUGAUGAAGGUCUUCGGAUCGUAAAACUCUGUUAUUAGGGAAGAACAAAUGUGUAAGUAACUAUGCACGUCUUGACGGUACCUAAUCAGAAAGCCACGGCUAACUACGUG
rnacentral:rRNA from 1 species